CAUAUUCCCAUGGACUUUGGAAAGGCAGGGGUUAGAAUUCAGAGGAAAUGUGUGCAGGAUGGUGUGAAGAACACAGUGUGCUUUACCUGUGCACUCAUCAGUGUUACAAUCAGAUAGUACAGCGGAGCAAUCAGAAAAUAAUCUUAGUAAACUGUAACUAUGAAAGUCCAAUUAGUUACGGUUGAGCAGAGAAUUCGGAGCAGGAUUUCGGAGUAAAUAGACAACAUCAUGCACUUAACCAAGAACACUACAAGAACAAUUGCCUAAAGCAAGAAAGCAAGCUGUUGGAUCUACUGAGAUACCAUAACACUACCAUGCUUUGGCUGCCCUCAGUUCUGUUUUGCUGAUGGACUGGACAUCACACUCAUCCUGGGAAUACUGGCAUCAGUGGUAAAUGGAGCUUGCCUCCCUUUAAUGUCACUGCUUUUAGGAGAAAUAAGUGAUCACCUAACUAGUGGAUGUCUAGUCCAAACCAACACAA
ensembl:lncRNA